AGGCGACCCUGCCCCGCCGGACUCCCGCUGCCUGGGAUCGUCCCGGGAGCGACGGCCGGCCGGUGGUCUUGGACGUGCGGGGGUCUGCGAGGGCUUUUUCGCGGCUGCCACCUUCUCUGUGGCGGAAGCCUGGAUGGCGGCCCCCCAGCCCUUGCGCCUUUGAGGCUCGACCCUGGGCGUCCCGGCGUGCGCGGGCGGGCGGGCUCCGGCCCCUCCGGCGCUGACCCGGCGGCUGGGAUGCCGCAGGGCCGCGCAGCUUAGGCCCGGUCCACUGAGGAGCCCGGCUCUGCUCGAGAGACUGGCUCAGACUCGAGUUCGGGCAGGGAUGUGACUGAGGCAGUGGCGGGCCAAGAAACGAGUGCCCAGGAGUGGUCCCAGGCGUGGCUUCCUGCAGCUUCCUUGCGAGUCGAGUCAACGCUUAGGCUUGUUUGACCAAAGAAGGGAAAUGGGCAAUAGGGACUCUGUGUACUAUGCUUAUUUCCUGAAAAGAUUGUUACUUGAAUAGUUGCAGACUGAAAGAAAACAGAUUUCGGUUAAAAAAAAGGAAGAUAUUCCCAGAGGAAAUAUCAGAGAAAUUAUUUGCCAGAGAACAGUGCUGCUCAAGCUUGAAUGUGUAGCAACUGGUGUAUAGCAAACACCUGAGGACCUUGUUGAAAUGCAUAUUAUGAAUCUUUGGAGCACGGCCUGAGGGUGUGCAUGUCUACCAAGCUCCAGGUGCAGAUGAUGCCGUGGGCCUGAUGUAUACUUCGAAUAGCAGUAGCCCUAGGAAGAUUAGCCCUGAGGUAACAUCUGCUGCCAGCCCUCUUUUUUUGGCUGAGGAAGACUGGCCUUGAGCUAACAUCCAUGCCAUCUUCUUCUGCUUUAUAUGUGGGAUGCCUGCCACAGCAUGGCUUGACAAGUGGUGCAUAGGUCCGCACCUGGGAUCCAAACCUGCAAACCCUGGGCUGCUGAAGCGGAACGUGCAAACUUAACCGCUGCGCCACCGGGCCAGUCCCUGUAUGUCUGGUGGGGAAGUAAAUCUGGUCCUUGUUUCUCUGUCUUGGCUUCUGCAAAUGGAGGUCCAAAUGUCACACCCAUCUGGAACACUUAUCACCCAAAACCAUUGAAUAUUGAAACUCUUAAGUUAGGUUGCAUACUGUUGAACUCACAUCCAAUUGAUUCCAGGCGAAGACAGCUAUUUUCUUGUCUUUACAUCCCUACAGACUUAACCAAUAGCCUGGUGCUUGGCUGACACUCAGUAAAAGCUGGCGAAUGAAUAAACUAUUUUGAGCAAACAGCUGUCCAUCUGCUUCUGGUGUUUUCUUCCAACAUUUGUUGGUAGGCUUUUGCGAUUUUCUUCUUGCCUGCCAGCAGCAAAAGAAAGCUAGGCAAGAUGGAAAUUUCUGGGACUUCUUAUUCAUGAUUGUAAUUAUCCACAAAAAUGUACCCUUUAAAAAAGCUUAUUUACAGGCAUGAGGGAACUUUUGGGGCUG
rnacentral:lncRNA from 1 species